GGAGAGGUGCCAGAGUGGUCGAAUGGGGCGGUCUCGAAAACCGUUAGGCUCGUAAGGGUCUCCAGGGUUCGAAUCCCUGCCUCUCCG
rnacentral:tRNA from 1 species